AUCUUCCUUUUUCUUUAUGCUUGCCACGGGUUGCUUCUUCGUGUUAUUUAGAGUGGCUCAUCUUUAAGCUGUUUUAAAGAAAUAAAUUUGAGUUUUACUGUGUGCCUAAGUGAUCCAAAACUACCCUGAGUGCAGUUAACUUUUUUUCUUAGCACCUCAAAGUUGAAGCACAUUUACAGGUCCUUCUUGUUAAUCUGCCUUGGGUAUACUAACGCAUACUGAAAGAUGACCUACUCACAUGAACUACCAACCGCUGCACGUUUGUGGCGAUGUCAAUCGAAUAAUUUGUUUUGCUUAUCUUGUCAUGUGCUUCCUUUACCAACCUUGAUUCUAUAUUUGCAAGUAAGUCUUAAGGUUAAACAUAUAUGCGACCUUAAUGAGUGACCGUGAACUUGGGAAUCCAAUUCUACACUUACAUUUAUUUCUGUGACCGCUAGUAUUGUAAGGCCCAAGUGCUUGUUGCUUCUUCCUUGAGGUGUGGCAUCGACCCUGCUAACAAUACUAUGAACAUGGAUCAUAAUCCUUUGCCAUUUCUUCUUCUCUUUUGACUUCUUCCUUGUCAAGUGAUGCUAAAUUUGACCGAUGCUUAUUUAUCAUUUGGUUGGAAACAGGAAAGGAUCAACGUUUCUCGAGAGCUGCAACCCACGAGGUGUAACUGAUAAGACGCACAGUAGUAUAGACACAGAAUCUGGAAGUCCCCCCAUAAGCAAUGAACCGCUCAAGAGGAAAUUGAAGCAGCGGAAGAGUUUUUGAAGCAUAGGUAAGGGGUUUUGGCUCCAAAAUUGCCGAACUCAUUAUAUGGCCGAUAUAUGCUAGUUUGCCUACAGAUCUUCAAGCAAAGAUAUUUUAACCCACGCCAGAAGGUGCUGGUAAGGUGGUCCUUGCGACAAAUGGUUUUAAGGUUGUAUUUAUAAUUGAUUCGCGUAGAGCAUAACUGGAUACAGAAUGUGGAUGGGGCUCCCAACGUUUCACUUGGACAAAAUGUCCGGACGAGAAUAAAGCAAUUCGCUUUGAUGAAUAAGUUCAAGAAGAAAGUUCUCAGAGUAGUAGUAGACAAUUUGCUUGAUGAGCAAGUGGAUCAUAUCAAAGAGAUGUUCGACGUGAUGGACACCAAUAAAAAUGGAGAUCUGACAUUUGAAGAGUUGAAACAUGGCCUGCACAAAUAUGGACAGCAAGUUGCUAAUCCUGAUGUGCAGAUGUUGAUGGACGCAGUAAGAUCACCUAUUCAACAGCUUAGCACAUUUUGAAUUCUUUGACAAGAAUUGAAGCGGAUAUAUUGAAUUCGAUGAGUUGAAAGAAGCUUUGAUAGAUGACAAUCUUCGUCCGAACAACGAAAAAUUUAUUGAAGACAUCAUUUUCGAUGCUGAUCUAGAUAAGGACGGUCGAAUCAGUUAUGAUGAAUUCAAGGCCAUGAUGAAAAGGGGCAUGGACUGGAAAAUGGCUUCACACCAG